rnacentral:rRNA from 1 species
AUUGAACGCUGGCGGCAGGCUUAACACAUGCAAGUCGAACGAGUGGCGGACGGGUGAGUAAUGCUUGGGAAUCUAGCUUAUGGAGGGGGAUAACUACGGGAAACUGUAGCUAAAACCGCGUACCAUAGGAGGAGCCCAAGGGGGAUUAGGAAGUUGUGGGGGUAAAGGCUGACCAAGACGACGAUCUCUAGCUGGUAGGAUAGGAUGACCAGCCACCCUGGUACUGAUACACGGCCCAGACUCCUCCGGGAGGCAGCAGUGGGGAAUAUUGCGCAAUGGGGGCAACCUGACGCAGCCAUGCCGCGUGAAUGAAGAAGGCCUUCGGGUUGUAAAGUUCUUUCGGUAGCGAGGCGUUAACUACAGAAGAAGCACCGGCUAACUCCGUGCCAGCAGCCGCGGUAAUAC